UUUAGAUGGCGACCGGCGCACGGGUGAGUAACACGUAUCCAACCUGCCGAUGACUCGGGGAUAGCCUUUCGAAAGAAAGAUUAAUACCCGAUGGCAUAGUUCUUCCGCAUGGUAGAACUAUUAAAGAAUUUCGGUCAUCGAUGGGGAUGCGUUCCAUUAGGCAGUUGGUGGGGUAACGGCCCACCAAACCUUCGAUGGAUAGGGGUUCUGAGAGGAAGGUCCCCCACAUUGGAACUGAGACACGGUCCAAACUCCUACGGGAGGCAGCAUG
rnacentral:rRNA from 1 species